rnacentral:lncRNA from 1 species
AUCUACUAAAUCGAUAAUCGAAAAAUGGGAUUCUGAAAUCACUAUUUUUGAUAUCACUAAAAAAUGGACAGUUACAAUUCUCCCUUGUAAUAGGUCCAUUUAGCCCGGGCCCAUUAGAAUAAAAAAAUAGAAAUUAAAAACCAAAAAUAAAAAAAACACACAAAUAAAAAAUCCAAAUUCCAGUGUCCGGUUACAAAUAUUUGGGCCAAAAAUAACCUAAACCUUAACCCCUUAAUACAGACCUAACCCAAUCACAUAGUCCAAGAGGGCUAUACUAAAAUCCCUAGCCCGAACAGCCCAAACUCAAAAGGAAUCCCAGCAACCAAGCACCAGAAGCUUCUGGAACAUGCUAGAACAGUGCUAGGGGGUCGGGUCUCACGAGCGGUUUCUUCGCACGGCUUCUUUCACGCGUGCCUCUCCCCGCUCCUCCGUACGGAUGAUCCUGUAAAGAAUACACGAGAAGGAAUAGACUAACAGAAUAUACAAAAUGACAGCAUGAAAUAUUUUUAUUUUUCGCUAUUUUAUUCUGUAAAUUUAGGCUAUAGAAAGCCCUCGUUUGUACCCUGUAUUUUUCUACGCACACUACGCAAAUCCAAUACUGAGAAUGAAAAAAAUUAGAAAGGCGAUUUAAGAUUUUUCUUCCGUCUUCAAUAUUUUUUUUCCUUUUUUGCAUAUAUCAUGUUUUUAGUUUUUUUUUUUUUAAAAAUCAAGAAAAGCGAGAAAGUUACCUUCGUUAAAUGUAUCGAUGAGAUCCCUUGGCUUCUCCGUUGAAAUCGGGGUUAGCAAUGCGAAUUAUCAAGUGAGAAUGGUCUUUGAAUGUUGAUUUCGGAGGAAGUAAAGGCUGCUUCUACAUCACUCACCAAUUUUAAUGGUGAACUGGUGAUGAACGGGCCUUAGCAAAUGGAGGCUGCUGGAAUGAACCCUAAAGAACUGAUUUUAGGGCAGUGACUUUUAGUUUAAUUGUUGGCUGUGUUUGGAAAAUAAAUGGGAAAAGAAAGGUUUUGAAUAACCUAUUAAACAAAGCGGCACCGUUUACACCCAUGGAGGUCCGCGCAUUGGCCCGAUAAAGGAGUUGGAUCAGCGCCCUUUUUGUUUGAAUGGGUAUAUUGCGCGCUGGAUCCCUCCUUUCGCGUGCCGCCUCCAAUUGUGCCCUAUGUGUCUUCUUUGUUUUUUGUUAAUUUGGCUCUAUAAAUUUUUGCAUUUUUUUUAUUUUGGUCUGUGAUACAGUACUGCGUUUUGAGCUUGGGAAAAUUUACAAUUUCAGUCCCUAUACAUUUAUGCGGGUUGAGCAUUGAUCCAUUUUACUAAUUACUUUAUUUGCAAAUUAUCCUCCUUAUUUUACUGCAAUCUUAAUUUGGUCUUAUAUUUGCACAAUCGGUUAACUUGAAAUACAUUUAAUAUGUUCAUGCCUUAAUUCAUGUUAAUAAUUUUGUUUGUUUACAUUUGUAUAAUUAUUUUAAGAUUGUUUUUUAUAUUUUCACAUUAUGUAUCCUGUUUCCUUAAAUACUUUAUAUAUAUAUAUUUGUAUACUAAUCAUUCUUAUUAUAAUUUUUUAUAAUAAUUAUUAUUUUGAAUGUUUUAAAAUUCUUUUUAUAUUACAUUGUUUUAAUACCUUAUUAAUAAGUGUUGUCAAUAUAUUUAUAUAUAUGUCGAUACAUAAAUUAUUUAAAAUAUUUCUUGAUUUAUGUCUCAUUUAAAUGUCUGUAUGUACAUAUGAUUCUGUUUCGGGAACUCCAUCUUUGUAUUUAUAAAAUUGUUAUAUUGAAAUGUUUUUCCAUAUUAUGUUAUCCUAGUAUGUUAUUUAGUAUCUCUUCUAAAUAUUUUUAAGUAAAAUGGUAUGUAUAUAAUUUAUAUGAUAAUCUAAUUUCACAUGUAUUUAUUUUUAUAUGCAUUUUGUUUAAAAUAAAAAAAUCUAUUAUAUGUGUCAUACCUUGCCAUGUAUUAUUAUUUCUUCAUAUUUAAUAUAUUAUUUAAGUUAUCAUUAAGCAUAUAUUUUUGUAUUUAUAUUUAAUCUACAUACGUUAUUAAAACCAUGUUAUUUUUAAAUAUAUAGCUUUUUAAAUUUGUACCUAAUUACUUUUAUUAAAUGUAUAGUAUAUGAUAAAGUUAAGUUAAUUUUAUAAUUCAUAUUUUUGUUUCAUGUUAUUCCAACAUUUAAUUAUUGUUAAAAUUUCUUCACAUGUAUAUAACCCAUAUUAAAUUAUUUUAUUAUAGUCUACGUUUUUGAUUUCAAAUUAAUAUUUCUUUUAUGUAUAUAUUUUUUUCUUUAUUACUCAAAAAUUCUGAAAUAAGGCAAUAUCCAAUAUUUAGGAAUUCGAAAAAUCGUGCUCAAUCGUGUUGGGUAUGAUUUUUCGGUGAACUAAAUAUUUGGAUAACCUUUUUAUAAUUUUAGUGUACGAGUUUUCAAAAGUCAAAAAUCAAUCGUAUUUUUAAAGGUAUAAAGGAUUGUAUCCAAUCGUACUGGGUAUGAUACUGCAUAUUUUUGAAACGAGAGAAUUUUGACCGCUAAUUUGAGCUAUUCAAACAUUUUAAAAAGAAUCAUACUUUGGAAAAUCUUUUCUUUUAAAAAACCUUUUGGUAUAAGGACAAAAUUAAAUCAAUUUGGUACCAAUUUUUGGGAGUAAUGAGGGUGCUAAUCCUUCCUCAUGCGUAACGGACUCUCGAACCCGUUUUUUAUUUUAUUUUACAUGAACCAAAUUUAUUUUUUCAUGGAAUAAAAUGUUUUAGUAGGUGGCCCAAUCACACCUAAAUUAAGAGAUUGGUGGCGACUUCACAUUUUUGUUUUCAAAAGUCGAUCCCCAUUAUUUAAAAAAAAAAAGUUUCGACAGCUUGGCGACUCCACUGGGAAAUGAACAAAGAGAGUCAGGCCAUAAAAUUGAUUAUUUGCUGUCCUUUUGUCAAAGACUUGAAAAUUUGUUUUGAAAGUCAUGAUUCUUUUGAUUGCAUUUGUUUGUAUGAUUGUUGUGGUUUGAGUCUUUUAGAAUAAAUAUGGCAUUGCAUUGCAUAACCGCUGUGGUUAUACCUGUUAAGUAGGAGUAAGAAACUAUGCUUUCGUGAGGUUUUCACUUCCGUAUGGGCUAGUGGAUUGCUUCCGGGAUACAUUCGUCCUAUGAUUUCGUGAGAUUUUCAUCUCCGCAUGGUCAUAGGGAAAUGUAUUCCCCUGAACCGAACUCGAUCCAUAUGAGCCUAUAAUGGGUGAGGAUUGAGGAAUCUGUUGGUUCGGGUACAUUUACUCUAGAACCAGGCUACAUAUAGUGAACCUUAAGAGCUAUCCUUAGGUAGAGCUGCGCCAAGCCUUAGUCAUUGCCCAUAUGUGUGUUAUGAUUAUCUUUGUUUUUAUACUUGUGUUUUAUUACUCUUAUUUGAUACUAACUUGUGUUUUGUUUUGGUUGUGUUUUACAUGACAUUGCAUACUAAAGGAGGUGUUGGUUCGUAUUAGAUUACUAAGUUAGAAAGUUUAACAUGGAGAAUGAAUUUCUUAGUAAAGUUGAGGAUAAUACGGCCGUCCGUGCAUGGUCAUUGAAGUUACAAACAGAGAAAAGGGAUAGCCUAGAAGGAUAUACAUCAGAGUUGUAGAACUUUACUCGUAUCAAUGUAACACAGAAUGAGUUGUAGGAGUUGAAGGAUAUAUGGACUCGUUGGGAUGAGGGCACUAAACAGUUGUUCUACCAGAGUUAUGGUGAUAUACCAUACUUGCUCGAUGUUGGUGGAUAAGCAUUUUUCUGAGGUAUGGCUCAAUUUUGGAAUUCUGCUUAUAAUUGUUUCACUUUUGGGGAAGUAGAUUUGGUUCCUACUUUGGAAGAAUACACUACUUUGUUGAGGAGUCCAAAAGUUUAAGUCAGAAAAAAUUAUGCUAAGGUUACUAAUGGUCAAACUUUUGCGAAGAGGCUAGUGAAUAUUUCGGGGAUGAGUGAAUCUUGGGUCACUGCUUGAAUUCAACAGAAGGGGGAUAGUAAGUGUAUUCCCUGGGAAAAUUUGAGAGAUUUGAUUUUGACGCACCCGGAUGAAAAGAAAAUGGUUGAUAUCUUUGCCUUAAGCAUCUAUGGAUUGAUGAUAUUUUCUAAGGCUCUAAGACAUGUUGAUGAGGCAGUUACAGAUUUGUUUGAUCGUCUUGGGAAGGGAGUCACACCCGUACCUGCAAUACUGGCCGAAAUGUUUAGAUCUUUGAGUAUGUGCCGGAGGAGGGGGGAAGGUCGAUUUAUUGGAUGUGUACAGUUGUUGAUGGUAUGGUUUCACGGGCAUUUUUGGAAAGUGAAUAAGGUACCGUAUCGGGUUUUCUCCGAAGGUUACUCUCCAUUAAAAGAAGAGAUGGUGAUGUAAAGGAGAGAUGAUAUUUCAGAAGAGAAAUGGAUAGAAAUUCUCCAAAAUCUCGAGGAUAAUGUAGAGUGGAGAGCUUUUUGGAUGGUUCCGGAUGAAAUUUUGUAUUGAUGUGGGAGUUAUAAUUGGUUGCCAUUGUUGGGAAUUUGGGGAGCUACUGGAUAUACUCCUUUACUUGCACUAAGGCAAUAUAAAUCGAGGUAGUUCAUACCUACGACACACGGUUGGCUCAGUGUGAACUCCCAUAUAAAGGAAACCACUAUAGGAAGAAGGUCCGGGAACUGUCUGAUGCUUGGAGGAAAAUACACUGGAUGAAAAGGUUGACUGUUGGUUCCAUGGUAACACCUGAAUACAAUGGAUGUUUUAGGAAAAUGGUCAAUGAUAAUAUUCCUAAACCAAGUUUGGAAAGCGCUCGACCAAUGGAAGAACAGUUACAAAUUGCCCCGUCGGAGUUGGAAAUCAUAAAGUAAGAUUUUGAGAAGAGGAAUUCUGAGUUUGGAAAGAAGAUCGAGCAGUUGGAAGAAGAAAAGAUGCACCUAAAGUUAGAUGUGGAAAUUCAGAAGUCAGAGGCAGAAAAGCUACAGAAAAGGAAGAGCGAAGUUGAGGAAGAUUUGGAAAGCUUGAAAAUAGAUUAUAAGAAGUUGCGCUUAUCAAUGAGGACUGAUGGAUUAGGAAAGACUUCAGAACAAUGGCGCCAGGAGGUUCGAGAAAAAAGGGCUAAGGCAGAUCAAUGGGAAAAGAGGUUCCAAGAGGCUCAAGCUCGGAAUGAAGCCUUGGAAAAAAGUCUAUCGGAAAGUAAGAAUGAAAAAGAUGAAUUAAGAGCCAGAGUAGCGGAACUUGAGAGAUCUCUGUGUUUAUAUCGAAAUCUCAAUUCUGUGACAGAGUUGAAAGCAAGCUUAAGUAAGAUCGAGGAGAUGAAAGAGAAAAUAGAAGAGUUAGAAAUGGCAUUGCAGAGUUGCGAAAUGAGGAUUGAGUUCUUGGAGGCAAAUGGGGAGCAAUGGAAGAAUCAGGUUCAUCACUCUCAAGACCAAGUUAGAAGCAGGGAUUACAUCAUGAGAGAAGCUGUAACACAAAUUUGAGAAGUAGCUGAUUACUUGUAGUCAUUGGCGGUACAAGCAGACGUAUUAAGUGUAAAGUACGAGUUGGAGUCAGAUAGGGGACAAGAACUAGCUUCAUUGCUUAGGAAAAUUAAGGCCCUGAGUGUUAGGGCGAAGUCGUAUUUGUAACUCAGUUUUAUGUACAAAAUUUUAUUUUCUAGUAAAGUUUUCUAAAAGGAAUUGAAUCAGAAUUGAUGCCUCCUUUACAUUCAUGCAUUUGCAUUACAUUACAUCAUAUGCAUUAAAGAUCAUAAUAAGAUUCUAAUUAAUUAAAAAAUUAUUUCAGUAAUCUGGAAACCAACAAAAACACACCAAAUAUGCAUCCCUACGAUACGAGGAAAAAGAAUAAGUCAAUGGACAAAAGACUGGAAAAGUUAGAACAAAUGCAAAAAGAUAUGCAGGAGCAAAUGCAGUUACAGAUGCAGGCACAGUUGGUUAAGAUUCAGCAAGAGAUGAAAGAACAGAUGAUGGAGUCCCAACAAGAGAUGAUGAGUCAGUUGUCCCAAUUGAUGAUGGGAAUAGUGGAUAAGGGAAAAGGUCCUAUGGAUAAUAUGGGAGAAAGUAAUGAAGACCCUCAAUAUCCUCCUGGCUUCAUUCCUGUACAUGUACAGACACAACCUGAGAUUAAUUUGCAGAAGCUAUCUGUUACGAUCAGGCCUCAGCAGUUUCAGGCCGGGGUUUCAGUACCAAUGAAUUUUCAAGCUGGUUCAGGUUAUAAUCCUGGUAACAACUCAAAUAAUCUAAUGGUCCCUGAUUUGGAUGAGGUCGCGAAAGAGGAAAAAGUAAAGGUGAAGUCACAAAAGCAGUUAGAGGAAUGGUGUAAAUGGCUGGAGAAAAAGGUCAGAGCAAUAGAAGGUGUUGAUAGACACCCGGGAAUUGAUGCAAAAGAUCUGAGUUUGGUCCCGGACUUAGUACUGCCAUACAAGUUCAGGAUGCCAGAAUUUGAGAAAUACAAUGGAAAGAGCUGUCCUAAAGCUCAUAUCACUAUGUUUUGUAGAAGGAUGACAUGGUAUGUUCAUAAUGAUCAAUUGUUGAUUCAUUGCUUCUAAGAUAGCUUGGUAGGAGUAGCUGUUAAAUGGUACAAUCAAUUUAAUCGAAACAGAAUUAGUUCAUAGAGAGAUUUAGCACAGGCGUUCAUGAAGUAAUAUAGUCAUGUGACAGAUAUAACUCCCGAUAGAAUUACUCUGCAGAAUAUGGAAAAGAAUCCAAACGAAAGUUUUAAGCAGUAUACGCAGAGGUGGAGGGAAAUGGCUAUUCAAGUUCAGCCACCGCUCUUAGAGAAAGAAACUACGAUACUCUUUAUUAACACCUUAAAGGCCCCGUUUAUAACUCAUAUGCUAGGAUGUGCCACUAGGAGCUUUGCGGAUGUGGUCAUGACAGGAGAAAUAAUUGAAAAUGCGAUAAGAAAUGGAAGGGUAGAUGCAGGAGAAAGUGCUAAAAGGUCCGUGCCACGGAAAAAAAGAGAAUGAGGUGAACAAUGUGAACGUGGGAUAUUCGAAGUCUAUUACUGUGAGUCAACCAAAAGCGACAACUGCUGGUCAGGGUUCAUCACGGUAAUAGUCAGGAACCAGGCAGAAUAAUAAGAAGAUUCAAUUUACACCAAUUCCCAUGACAUAUAAAGAGUUAUAUCAAAGUUUGUUCGAUGCACAUGUGGUGACACCUUUUUACUUAAAGCCAUUGCAGCCUCUGUUCCCUAAAUGGUACCACACUAAUGCUCAAUGUGAGUAUCACGCAGGAAUUGUGGGUGAUUCGAUAGAAAAUUGCACCACUUUUAAGAAGCUGGUUGAGAGAUUUAUUCAGAUGGGUAUUGUGAAAUUUGAUAAUGUGCCCAAUACUGAAAAUCCACUGCCUAAUCAUACUGAUAGCGGGGUAAAUGCAAUAAAUGGAGAUAUUGGAAAGAGGAUCAAGAGGGAUGUUUUAGAAGUAAAGACGCCUUUGAGACGAGUUUAGAAAGAGAUGGCAAGAAGAGGGUUAAUUACUUUAAACACAGAAAGAAAUGAUGAUGGGGUGGAGAAUUAUUAUGAGUUCCAUCAUAAAGAGGGACACAGGAUUCAAGAAUGUGAAGAAUUCAGAGUUGUUAUUCAGGGCCUGUUGGACAGCAAAGAAAUGGAGUUUUAUGAAGAGGUCAAUGAAGAGGAGUAUAUAUGUGCGUCAGAAUCCACAUCAAGUCCAAAAGUCAAUUAUCCUGUGGUCAUUAUCUCGCGUCCUAAGAAUAAAGCAAGAGUUCAAAUGAUGCCAAAGAUUAUAAUUCAGAAGCCAGCUGUUUUUUCUUACAAGAAUAGUAAACAGGUCCCGUAGAACUAUGACUGUAAUGUGACAAUCCUGGGAAAGGAAAGUUCAGCUAGCCCGUUAAAGGAAGAUCAAAAUAUAGGCUCUCACACACGCAGUGGAAGGCGAUAUGAUACUCGAAUAGAACUGGUGAAAGAAAGAGAUGUGCUGGUCGAGCAAAAGAAAGGAAAAGCAGUUGAACUUGAUGUACCUGUUAAUGAACCAGUGAAAGAAGAAGAGGCUAAAGAAUUCCUAAAAUUUCUGAAACAUAGCGAGUACAGUGUGGUGGAACAGUUGCGUAAAUAGCCAGGCUGCAUAUCUAUAUUGGCCCUACUCCUGAGUUUAGAGGUGCAUUAGAGCGCAUUGAUGAAGGUGCUAAAUGAGACCUAUGUAACCAACGAUAUUUCUGUCAAUAAGUUGGAUCGGUUGGUUAACAACAUAAGUGCAGACAACUUUAUCUUUUUCAAUGAUGAUGAGAUUCUGCCAGGAGGGAUGGGAUCUACCAAAGUUUUGCAUAUAACUAGUAGAUGUAAAGGAUACACGUUGUCAGGGGUAUUGGUAGAUAAUGGUUUAACAUUGAAUGUGUUGACUUUAUCUACACUAAACAAGUUACCUGUGGAUAGUUCUCACAUGAAAGGAUGUCAAAACAUAGUAUGACCAUUUGAUGGCACGGAGAGGAGGGCCAUGGAGAGAAUAGAGGUACCCUUGUUAAUUGACCCAACUACGUAUGAGGUAGAUUUUCUAGUAAUGGAUAUUAAGCCCUCUUACAACUGCUUGUUGGGAAGACCUUGGAUACACUCGGCAGGGACAGUACCUUCAUCAUUACAUCAAAAGCUGAAGCUGGUGUCAGAAGGGCGGUUGGCAACAAUAAAUACUGAAGAAGAUUUUAUCGCGGCCGUGAGCAGUGAUACGCCAUAUGUAGAAACAGAUAAGGAAGCCAUUGAGUGUUUUUUUCGGUCUUUGGAGUUUGUGAAUGCAACAUUCAUCACUGAGGGAAGUAGAAUUCUGGAGCCAAAAAUGUCCAAAACUACGAUGAUGGGUUUACAAUUGAUGGUAGGCUGGGGAGCUAUAACAGGAAAGUGACUUGGAGGAGGCCUUCAAGGAAGAAUUGCAAUUCCAAUGCUAAAAGAAAAAUAGGAUCGCUUUGGUUUGGGGUUCAAGCUAGACGCAAGACAAAGGAAAAUAGAACUAGAAAGAAGACAAGAGAGAAGAAGAGCACGAGUGAGUGGAGGGGAAAUCAAGUGGGAGCCCAUGAUAAUUCCUCAUAUUUCCAAGUCUUUUGUAUCCGGGGGUAUUAUUUAUGCUGAACAAGGGAUGCUGAAGAAAGAAAGCAUGGAAGAAGCAUUGGAAAAUAUGUACAUCAAUGCCAUAUUUGAAGAGACAAUUGAAGAGGGGAUUUCGUCAAAUAUUCGUCCAUAUAAACCUGGGAGCAUUCUAGACAAUUGGACUGCGAAGGAUCUUCCUGUAGUUUUUAGAGCUUACUCAGAGUAAUGUUCGAAACAAACUUGUUGUUUUAAGCCUAGAAACAAUAAAGAUUUCUUUGUGAAAUAGGCUUAUGUUCAAACAUCAUUAUUUCAAUGAAGUACAUUUUUUGCCAUCAUUUUGAGUAAAUAUUAUUCUUUUCACAAGCAAUUGUGUUAUUCUUUCUAUCUAAAUAAUUAUCUUGAUUCUUUCUUCAAUCGUUCUUUUAUUCAUAAACGUAUCAUACAAAAUACUAAAUUAUCAAAUUCAUUCAUUCUUUGUAUAUUCUUGUACCUAUAAUAGGUCUCUAGAUAUCAAUGUCAUGAGCGACGCUGUUACUGACUCAGAAUCACUAUUUGAGCAAGACAUGUGUUUAGAGGGAUCUCAGGACUUUGAAGAUGACAGAGAUUAUGAUUUAUCUCCAGACUUGUUAAGGAUGGUAGAACGAGAGGAAAAGCAAAUUUUGCCUCAUAAAGAAACUGUAGACAUGGUGACUUUGGAAGAAGGGAAAGUUGUAAAAAUUGGAACAUGCAUAGCUGAAGAGACAAAGCGAGACCUUGUUGAGUUACUUCAGGAAUCCAAAGAUGUUUUUGCAUGGUCAUACCAGGACAUGCCCGGUUUAAGUCCUGAUAUUACGUUACAUUGCCUUCCCAUAAGAGAAGAUUGUAAGCCAGUACAACAGAAACUUUGACGAAUGAGGCUAGAUAUUGUCUUAAAAAUCAAGGAGGAAAUAAAAAAGCAGUUUGAUGCGGGGUUCCUUCAGGUGAUCAAGUACUCAGAAUGGGUAGCUAAUGUUGUGCCUAUUCGCAAGAAAGACGACAAGGUGCGAAUGUGUGUGGAUUAUAGAGAUCUAAAUAAGGCAAGCCCAAAGGACAACUUCCCUUUGCCUCACAUUGAUACACUAGUGGAUAAUACAGCUGGUUACUCAGUGUUUUCCUUCAUGGAUGGUUUCUCGGGGUAUAAUCAGAUCAAGAUGCAUCCUGAGGAUAUGAGAAAGACUACUUUUAUAACUUUGUGGGGCACGUUCUGUUACAAGGUGAUGCCAUUUGGAUUGAAGAAUACUGGAGCGACGUAUCAGAGAGCCAUGGUGACUUUAUUCCAUGAUAUGAUGCACAAGGAGAUUGAAGUGUAUGUUGACGAUAUGAUAGCCAAAUCUUGAACUGAAAAUGAGCAUAUUGAAGUAUUGAGAAAGUUGUUCAUGAGAUUGAGAAAGUUUCAGUUAAAGCUUAAUCCCCAAAAAUGUACUUUUGGGGCUAGAUCUGGAAAGCUAUUGGGCUUUGUAGUCAGUGAGAUGGGAAUUGGGAUUGAUUCAGACAAAGUCCGGGCUAUACAGGAGUUGUCUCCACCACGUACCCAAAAAAAAGUUUGAGGUUUCCUCGGAAGACUAAAUUACAUUGCGAUGUUUAUUUCUCAAUUAACAGAGAAGUGUAACCCUAUAUUCCGUCUUCUUAAAAAGCAUAACCUAAGGGAAUGGGAUGAUGAAUGUGAAAAGGCUUUUGAUAAGGUUAAAGAAUAUUUGUCAAGUCCUCCAGUGUUAUCACCCCCAAGUUCACACAGGUCGUUGAUAUUGUAUUUAACUGUAUCUGGAAAUUCAAUGGGAUGUGUGCUUGGUCAACACGAUGAAUCAGGAAGGAAGGAAAAGGCGAUAUAUUACCUCAGUAAGAAAUUCAACGAGUGUGAGUUGAGAUAUUCGCCAAUUAAAAAAUUGUGUUGCGUUUUGGUUUGGACAGCACAAAGAUUGAGGCAAUAUAUGUUGUAUCAUACAACUUGGCUAAUCUCAAAUUUGGAUCCUUUAAAGUAUGUGAUGGAGUCAAAUGCCUUGAAUGAAAGGAUGGCUAGGUGGCAAAUUUUGCUUUCUGAAUUUGACAUAAUCUACAUAAGUCAAAAAGCUGUAAAGGGGAGUGCAAUAGCAGAUUUUCUGGCCAGCUGAGCUUUAAAAGAUUAUGAACCCUUGAAUUUUGAUUUCCCCAAUGAAGAGAUAGUGUAUGUGGCAGCCGCUGAAGAGGACACUAUAAAAGGGCACUUUUGGAAAUUAAAUUUUGAUGGAGCCUCAAAUGAUGUGGGUAAUGGAGUUGGGGUAGUUCUGGUAUCCCCAGGUGGAGAUCAUUAUCCAUUCACAUGUAAAUUGGAUUUUGAUUGUACGAAUAAUAUGGCAGAAUAUGAAACAUGUAUCAUGGGGCUCAGAGUAGCUAUAGAGCGCAAGAUCAAAUCAUUGGAAGUAUAUGGAGAUUCUGCAUUGAUAAUUUACCAACUUCGAGGUGAAUGAGAGACAAGAGAUUCCAAACUAAUCAAUUACAGAAGGCUAGUGUUGGGGUUAGUGGAAGAGUUUGAUGAUAUUACUUUCAAUUAUCUCCAGCGCGAUGAAAACCAGAUGGCAGAUGCUUUGGCUACUUUGGCUUCCAUGAUCAAAGUAAGUAGAUAAGAGGAUGUGAAGCCCAUUCAGAUGAGUAUUUAUGAGGCUCCGUCUUAUUGUUAUAAUAUAGAGGAAAAAGAAAGUUGAUCAUCCUUGGUAUCAGGAUAUAUUACGAUAUGUGAGAAACCGUGAAUAUCCAGAUCAAGCCACGGAGAAUGACAAAAGAACGUUGAGAAGGCUUGCCUACGAUUAUAUUUUAGAUGGAAAGAUCCUGUACAAAAGAAGGAAGGAUCAGGUACUUUUGAGAUGUGUAGAUGCCGUGGAGUCCAAGAAAAUAUUGGAAGAAGUGCACGAAGGUGUUUGUGGAACACAUGCUAAUGGGUUCACAAUGGCCAGACAAAUUAUGAGGUUUGGAUAUUAUUGGUCCACCAUGGAAGGAGACUGCAUCAAUUAUGCCAAGAAAUGUCACAAAUGUCAAAUUUAUAGUGAUAAGAUUCACGUACCUCCCUCGCCUUUGCAUGUUAUGACUUCUCCAUGGCCAUUUUCCAUGUGGGCCAUGGAUGUCAUAGGGCCAAUUUCACCAAAUGCUUCAAAUGGUCAUCGUUUCAUUUUUUUGGUUUUUGAUUAUUUUACCAAGUGGGUAGAAGCUGCCUCGUACGCCAAUGUAACCAAAUCAGCAGUCAGCAGAUUCUUAAAGAAGGAAAUUAUAUGUCGAUAUGGAAUGCUUGAGAAGAUCAUAUCUGAUAAUGAGUUAAAUUUGAACAAUAGCACAAUAGCGGAGGUUUGCAGUCAGUUUAAGAUCAGACAUCAUAAUUCAUCAUCAUAUCAGCCAAAGAUGAAUGGGGCAGUGGAAGCAGCCAACAAAAAUAUCAAGAAAAUUGUUGGGAAAAUGACCGAAACUUAUAGAGAUUGGCAUGAAAAGUUGCCAUUUGCUCUUUAUGCUUAUCGAACAUCUGUCAGAACUUCUACUGGGGCAACACCUUUCUCAUUGGUCUAUGGAAUGGAAGCAGUUCUACCCAUUGAAGUGGAAAACAUCCCCUUCGAGUUUUGUCAGAAUUGAAGUUAGAUGAAGCAGAAUGGAUACAGUCUCGAUAUGAUCAGUUGAAUUUGAUUGAAGAAAAGAGGCUAAAGGCUAUUCAACAUGGUCAGAUGUAUCAAAAAAGAAUGAUGCGAGCUUAUGACAAAAAUGUUCACCCAAGAGAGUUUCAUGAGAGGGAUUUGGUUUUGAAAAAGAUCCUUCCUAUACAAAAGGAUUUUAGAGGAAAAUGGAUGCCGAAUUGGGAGGAGCCUUAUGUGGUGAAGAAAGUUUUCUCCAGUGGUGCAUUAAUUUUAGCUGAAAUGGAUGGAAGAAAUUUGUCUAAUCCAGUAAACUUGGAUUCAGUUAAAAAGAACUACACUUAACAAGGGAAAGAAGCCAAAGUGAAAACCCGCAAAGGGCGCUUUGAGACUUUUCAAAAAAAAAAGGGUCCAAAGUGUAAACCCGCAAAGGGCACUUUGAGACCAAAUAAAAAUGGAAAGGGCCGAAGUAAAAACCCGCAAAGGGCACUUUGAGACUCAAUAAUAAUAAAAAAGGAAAAAGAGAAAAAGGAGAGGCCAAUGUGAAAACCCGCAAAGGGCGCCUUGUGACCAAAGGGGAUUUGAGUUGAAAACCCGAAAAGGGCGGCUCAAAUAUGGAUCCAAAGUGAGAAGGCUGUGAUCUUGUUAUACUUGAAUUAACCAUGAAGGGGGUAUGUUGCAUCUUAGGACAUUGACAAAGUGCUUCUGAUCUCUUAAACACAUGUCAGUUGGAAUUGGUCUUCAAGAAGUUUGUACAGAGAAGCUCAGGUUGCGAUAACAAGGGUACCUAGUCUUCAUUUUCAGCAAAUUGGUUAUCUUUGAAUUUUCCUUUCUUUUUCAAGAUAUACAUUCCCAAAUUAAUGGCUAUUGUUGUUCUUUUGAUAAUUUACUUUGAACUCAAAUUUAAUUCCAUUCUUGCCCAUUAUUAUGAUUUGAUUGCAAGCAUGUUGCAUUGACAUAAUGAUGAAUGAACUAGUGAUGUUUUCACAAUAGAGGUUUUGCAUAUUACUCUAGGAGUUUCUAAAUAAUGCAGGAAUCUGAAGUGGAAUAGUUGUUUAGAAUACGCUCAAGUUCAAGAAUAUAUUUGGAUAAAUCGCCUCUUUGAGAUCUCUGUCCAAAUGAUGAUGGAGCAAACAGACAGGAUAUAGUAUUGAUGAUAGAAUUUUAUUUUCGAGAAAAGGGAAAUGACGUUUUGUAUUUGGCUAUAACACCGGAGGAGUGAGGUAGCAAAUUGAUCAGAGGAAGAUCCAACUAUGAGUUGCAAUGUUUUGUCUGAACAAUAGUAGUAGAAGGGAUAUUAGAAUUAUAGUGGGGCAAGCUCGCCAGACAAGAUAGGUUUGUUUCUUUGGGAUACUCCGUCAAGAUGAUGGUUGAGCAAAUGCGUCAGUAAUAGCAUAUUAAUGAACAACGAGUAACGAUACCUUAAAUUGCUAAAAUAGAAUCAUCCUCAUUUCUGUAUAUAUCAUUCAUAACACAUUUAGUUAGGAGCAUUGGGUUCAUUUCAAUAUUAGCAUCCUAAUUAUUUGGCAUAAGCAUGUGCAUAUAAAAUAGAGUCUAUGGGAUAGGUUCCCCAGAGGACAGUGUAGUGACAUUGGUAAAGAUUGAAGAUCUUAUCUCCCUAAAGUUGCAGUGGAGUAGAUCGAAAAUGGUAAAUCUUAUCUCCAUGUAUCGACAAUGGAGCAGAUUUUACCACCAGCCUCAUCUCUCUGAGAUAACAAGAGAGCAGGUUGAAGAAUGAGUCUUAUCUUCCUGAGGUAGCAAUGAAGCAGACUGAAGAGUGAAGAUCUUAUCUCCCAAAGCAGUAGCAGAGCAGAUUGAAAAAGGCGAAUCUUAUCUUCAUGUAUCGAUUUUAUCACUAGCCUUAUCCCUCUGGGGUAACAAGAGAGCAGGUUAAAGAUGGAGUCUUAUCUUUCUGAGGAAGCAAGAAAUUAGACUGAAGAUUGAAGAUCUUAUUUUCCUAAGCAGUAGCGGAGCAGAUCAGAGAUGACAAAUCUUAUCUCCAUGUACCGGCAAUGGACCUAACCCCUUAAUAAGGACCUAACCCAAUCACAUAGUCCAAGAGGGCUAUACUAAAAUCCCUAGCCCAAACUCAAAAGGAAUCCCAGCAGCCAAGCACCAGAAGCUUCUGGAACAUGCCAGAACAGUGCCAAGGGGUCGGGUCUCACGAGCGGUUUCUUCGCACGACUUCUUUCACACGUGCCUCUCCCCGCUCCUCCGUACGAAUGAUCCUGUAAAGAAUACACGAGAAGGAAUAGACUAACAGGAUAUACAAAAUGACAGCAUGAAAUAUUUUUAUUUUUCGCUAUUUUAUUCUGUAAGUUUAGGCUAUAAAAAGCCCUCGUUUGUACCCUGUAUUUUUCUACGCACACUACGCAAAUACAAUACUGAGAAUAAUAAAAAUUAGAAAUGUGAUUUAAUAUUUUUCUUCCGUCUUCAAUAUUUUUUUCCUUUUUUUUCAUAUAUCAUGUUUUUAUUUUAUUUUUUAAAAAAAAAGCAAGAAAAGCGAGAAAGUUACCUUCGUUAAAUGCAUCGAUGAGAUCCCUUGGCUUCUCUGUCGAAAUCGGGGUUAGCAAUGCGGAUUAUCAAGUGAGAAUGGUCUUUGAAUGUUGAUUUUGGAGGAAGUAAAGGCUGCUUGUACAUCACUCACCAAUUUUAAUGGUGGACUGGUGAUGAACGGGCCUUAGCAAAUGGAGGCUGCUAGAAUGAACCCUCGAGAAUUGAUUUUAGGGCAGUGACUUUUAGUUUAAUUGUUGGCUGCGUUUGGAAAAUAAAUGGGAAAAGAAAGGUUUUGAAUAACCUAUUAAACGAAGCGGCACCGUUUACACCCAUGGAGGUCCGCGCGUUGGCCCGAUAAAGGAGUCGGAUCAUCGCCCUUUUUGUUUGAAUGGGUAUAUUGCGCGCUGGAUCCCUCCUUUCGCGUGGCGCCUCCAAUUGUGCCCUAUGUGUCUUCUUUGUUUUUUGUUAAUUGGGCUCUAUAAUUUCUGCAUUUUUUAAUUUUGGUCUGUGAUACAGUACUGCGUUUUGGGCUUGGGAAAAUUUACAAUUUCAGUCCCUAUACAUUUAUGCGGGUUGAGCAUUGAUCCAUUUUACAAUUACUUUAUUUGCAAAUUAUCCUCCUUAUUUUACUGCAAUCUUAAUUUGGUCUUAUAUUUGUACAAUCGGUUAACU